AGAAGAGGUUGCUAGAUUCAACCUUGCGCGGCCGAGGUUUGAGCACCGCCAAAUGCAUUCUAUUUGCUGGACCCGUCCUUCAUAAAACGAGCAUUAUAAUCAAAUCAUUGACUAGUGUUGACAGCUUGAAAAUAAUAUUGUUAUUGGCCUUUUCAUUUUAUGGCAAGAGCAUUAUCCUGAUGCUAGGCCUACUUCUCUCAUGAUCCCAUUUGUGUACUGUGCAUGGCUGCACAAAAUUAGCUCCCAGAACUGUAUAGGCCGGCAGCCGGCAUCCAUGAUGACAACUGCUAUAUGCAUGACUCCGGCGGCCGC